rnacentral:lncRNA from 10 species
GGAUCUCAGGAGCAUCGCACCGAGCUGGAGAAGCCAGACACGAGCCGCUGCACACCCCAGGGUUAAGCUUCAGCGUGCAAAGUGAAAGGCCACACAAAUCUUUGUCCGUAACAAAUGCCCCGUGGACAGGACACUCCGGUGCCCUGAGGCUGCAGGAGCUGAGGGUGAUCUUGCUCAGGUACUUCUGGUGGUACCUGCUGUAUGGGGAAGAAGUCUGUUCCUCCUGGCUGGUGUCAGAAGUAACCAGGCUGAAGCCA